UGGCGGCGUGCCUAAUACAUGCAAGUCGAACGCACUCUCGUUUAGAUUGAAGGAGCUUGCUCCUGAUUGAUAACAUUGAGUGAGUGGCGGACGGUGAGUAACACGUGGUAACCUGCCCUAAAGUGGGGGAUAACAUUUGGAAACAGAUGCUAAUACCGCAUAAAACCUAACACCGCAUGGUGUAGGGUUGAAAGAUGGUUUCGGCUAUCACUUUAGGAUGGACCCGCGGUGCAUUAGUUAGUUGGUGAGGUAAAGGCUCACCAAGACCGUGAUGCAUAGCCGACCUGAGAGGGUAAUCGGCCACACUGGGACUGAGACACGGCCCAGACUCCUACGGGAGGCAGCAGUAGGGAAUCUUCCACAAUGGACGAAAGUCUGAUGGAGCAACGCCGCGUGAGUGAAGAAGGUCUUCGGAUCGUAAAACUCUGUUGUUGGAGAAGAAUGUAUCUGAUAGUAACUGAUCAGGUAGUGACGGUAUCCAACCAGAAAGCCACGGCUAACUACGUG
rnacentral:rRNA from 1 species